GACGAACGCUGGCGGCGUGCUUAACACAUGCAAGUCGAGCGGUAAGGCCUUUCGGGGUACACGAGCGGCGAACGGGUGAGUAACACGUGGGUGAUCUGCCCUGCACUUCGGGAUAAGCCUGGGAAACUGGGUCUAAUACCGGAUAUGACCUCCUAUCGCAUGGUGGGUGGUGGAAAGAUUUAUCGGUGCAGGAUGGGCCCGCGGCCUAUCAGCUUGUUGGUGGGGUAAUGGCCUACCAAGGCGACGACGGGUAGCCGACCUGAGAGGGUGACCGGCCACACUGGGACUGAGACACGGCCCAGACUCCUACGGGAGGCAGCAGCGGGGAAUAUUGCACAAUGGGCGAAAGCCUGAUGCAGCGACGCCGCGUGAGGGAUGACGGCCUUCGGGUUGUAAACCUCUUUCAGCAGGGACGAAGCGCAAGUGACGGUACCUGCAGAAGAAGCACCGGCUAACUACGUG
rnacentral:rRNA from 1 species